CACCACUUGGAAGAAGUGGAAAGUAAGCACUUGUUUAGCAUCAGUUGGCAUCGCGUGCGACAGUUCGCAAAGGACGCCGAGCAAGGUUGUCCGGCUUCCAUUCCAAUGUCGUCUCUUACAUCAACAUAAUUCUGUGACCAGUGAAAUUAUGAUAGUGAAUCAUGAAAUAUUGAAAUUCGAUUAUAAAGUUCAUUUUAGAUUGUAAAACGGUUAAUAUCUAGUCGUGUAAUGUUUUGAACCAUGGGCUUAGCAAGAAAAAUCUUAAGGCUCAUAUUUUUCCUUCUAUUCUUGAAGCUAUGCUGCUGUCAUGAUAACUGGCUGGAACACAUUUUCGAGGUCGGAAACGAUGAAAAAAGAAGUAUGCCAGAUGCAGUCUUGGACUUUUUGGAUUACGUAUUUCCUAAAGAUGAUUCGGAAACUUCAAUAAUGAAAGAAAUAUUCACAAUGUUCGCUGAAGAUGGACCACCGGGAUUACACAGUGGAUUGUCGGCGUUGGAAUAUUUAAUGGACUGAUUAAAAAUCUACAGCAAUUAAAAAAAUUACAGCUAAGUUUCUAAAAGAAACUGUUUAUACCAAUUAAUUGGCAAUUACAACUGUCUACGCUCGAAUGACUAACAUUAAUAACGUUUACGUCAACUUUACUUGACUUAAAAGACGGUUCAAUUGUAGUUUGUAAUCUUAUUUAUUUUAUUUUAUUUAGUUUUAUUUUACUCGACUUUAUUUAUUUUAUUUUAAUUAGCCAAAAAUAUUUAGCCAUUUUGCCUCAUUAAUGUAGUAGCGUAACAUAACUGUAGAUAACUUUUAUGUUCGUUAGCAUUAAUUAAAUUAUUAAAAUGUAUGCAAAUUA